AGUGAACGCUGGCGGUAGGCCUAAUACAUGCAAGUCGAACGGCCGCACAGUAAGCGCUUGCCUUUAACGGUGGCGAGUGGCGGAUGGGUGAGGCAUACAUCGGAAUCUACUUUUUCGUGGGGGAUAACGUAGGGCAACUUCCGCUACUACAGCACACGACCUACGGGUGAAUUCUGGAGAUCUUCGUACUUUGCCCGAUUCUAUGAGCCGAUGUCGCAUUAGCUAGUUGGCGUGGUAAAGGCCCACCAAGCCGACGCUCCGUAGCUGGUCUGAGAGGAUGAUCAGCCACACUGGAACUGAGACACGGUCCAGACUCCUACGGGAGGCAGCAGUGGGGAAUAUUGGACAAUGGGCGCAAGCCUGAUCCAGCCAUACCGCGUGGGUGAAGAAGGGUUUCGGGUUGUAAAGCCCUGUUGUUAGGAAAGAAAAGCAGCAUGUGAAUACCCCGCUGUUCUGACGGUACCCAAAGAAUAAGCACCGGCUAACUUCGUG
rnacentral:rRNA from 1 species